rnacentral:lncRNA from 1 species
GCCUAUACUCUGCUGAAAAAUAAGCUCGGCACCUCAGCACGAGCGUAAAUGCCAUCUAAACUAUCCUAGGUAUCCAUCGCACUAAUACUACAACGAUACAAUCGAAUUUCGGCUCCUAGAGCUAAAUUUGGUAGUUUAAGCAUAUGACGGGUCAAAAACGCGGCUUUUCUCCUAAGUCAAAUUUCAAGUCCAACAUGUAUAAUAUAAACAUUCAUUUCAGCAUGCUUUUAUAUUCAUAUUACGUCCAAAAUGCUAAUCGAUGAAUUAAAGCAUGAUAUACAAAAAUCGAACUAUACACGUCGACUAAACAUGCACUUAGGAGCGAAACCGAUGAUACACCCACCUCUAGUGCAAUUCCUGGCAGCAAGAUGGUCUCGGAUCACAAGCAACACUGCUGGAAACACCUCCAAACCAGCAACAAAGCCCCUCAAGAUCUGGAUUUACAAUUCACCCAAAAAUCCAAUAAAAACCAUCAAUUUACCAAAAUUUCAGCACUUAAGCUUAAUUAUCUCAAUUCCAAUAUCAAAACUCACAUAAUGAGCUCCAAUUCGGGUGAGGACAGAUCCAAAUCCAGCAACUACUGAAGGGUGAUCAAACUCAGGUCCAAAAUCCCACUGCCAACAAAGAUAGCAUCAAGAAAAACUCGAAAAUCCCAUUUUCAGCUCAAAGCCAACAGCAGUCCAGAAAAACCUCAAUUUGACCAAGCUAACCUCAACCAAAAUCUGCAAUUCAGGGCUUCGUGGAUUGCUCUGGAAGUCUAGAAUCCAGCAAACCAAGUUUCGUCGAAAUCCGACCUUCCUACGUCG